rnacentral:misc_RNA from 1 species
UACGGAGACCUCGAGCGUUACUCGGAUUUACUGGGCGUAAAGGGUCCGUAGGUGGCCCGGUGUGUCGGGGGUGAAAUCCUGCAGCUUAACUGUAGAAUUGCCUUCGAAACUACCGGGCUAGAGGACUGGAGAGGUAAGCGGAAUUCCAGGUGUAGCGGUGAAAUGCGUAGAUAUCUGGAGGAACACCAACGGCGAAGGCAGCUUACUGGACAGAUCCUGACACUGAGGGACGAAAGGGUGGGGAGCAAAAGGG